rnacentral:snRNA from 1 species
UCGCUCACUUUGCAACAUAGAUCCUAAAACCGAAAGGAGAUGGAGAAGAUUAGCAUGGCCUCUGCACAAGGAUGAUAUGGAAAUUUGUGAAAUGUUCCAUAUUUUU